UGAAGUUAUUAAGGGCGUAUGGUGGAUGCCUAGGCAGAAAGCGACGAUGAAGGACGCGGCUGGCUGCGAUAAGCCUCGGUGAGUUGCGAGCAAACUUUGACCCGAGGAUCUCCGAAUAAGGCAACUACCAGAGUUUUUAGGACUCGGAGCAUAUAGCCAACACAUAACUAUAUGCGGGCAACCCGGUGAAGUGAAACAUCUCAGUAACCGGAGGAACAGAAAUCAACCGAGAUUCUCCAAGUAGCGGCGAGCGAACGGGGAAGAGCCCAACCUCAAAUAACGUGAUAGGCUGCCGCCGUUGUUAUUUGAGGGUUGCAGGGGUAACUUUUAGAAGUUCGGCAGAGCUUCUGCAGAGUAAAAAAUCCAAGCGUUAGCUGAAGUUGUAUGGAAAGGCACACCGCAGCGAGUGAUAGUCUCGUAAGCGAAAACGAUUGGACUCUGUAAGUUAUCACCUAAGUACCGCGAGGCACGUGAAACCUCGUGGGAAUCUGGGAGGACCAUCUUCCAAGGCUAAAUACUACUUUCUGACCGAUAGUGCUUAGUACCGUGAGGGAAAGCGUGAAAAGAACCCCGAGAGGGGAGUGAAAUAGAACCUGAAACCAUGCGCUUACAAGCCGUUAGAGGCCAACGGAUUCGUCCGGGCUGAUAGCGUGCCUUUUGUAGAAUGAGCCGGCGACUUACUGUAACGGGCGAGGUUAAGGACCGAUGGUCCGGAGCCGAAGCGAAAGCGAGUUUGAAUAGAGCGUAUUAGUCCGUUGUAGUAGACCCGAAGCCAGAUGACCUAACCAUGACCAGGGUGAAGGGUGCGUAACAGCACCUGGAGGCCCGGACCGGUGAUUGUUGCAAAAAUUUCGGAUGAGUUGUGGUUAGCGGUGAAAUGCCAAUCGAAUCUGGUGAUAGCUGGUUCUCCCCGAAAUAGCUUUAGGGCUAGCGUCGAGCGUUAACAUCCUGGGGUAGAGCACUGACAGAGUUAGGGGCCUUGAUCGGUUACCGACCUCCAUCAAACUCCGAAUACGGGAUGGUAUUUCUCGGCAGUCAGACAGUGGGGGAUAAGCUUCAUUGUCGAGAGGGAAACAGCCCAGACCGACCGCUAAGGUCCCGAAGUCACAGCUAAGUGGAAAAGGAAGUAUUACUUCAUAAACAGCCAGGAGGUUGGCUCAGAAGCAGCCACCCUUUAAAGAGUGCGUAAUAGCUCACUGGUCGAGUUGUAGUGCGCCGAAAAUGUAACGGGGCUCAAGCUGUGCACCGAAGCGUCGGACUGCAGUUUUACUGUAGUGGUAGGGGAGCGUUCUGUAGGCCUGUGAAGGAGUACCGUGAGGGGCUCUGGAGGUAUCAGAAGUGCGAAUGUCGGCAUAAGUAGCGUAAAGAGAAGUGAGAAUCUUCUCCGCCGAAAAUCUAAGGUUUCCUGGGCCAGGGUUAUCCUCCCAGGGUAAGGCGGGACCUAAGCCGAGGGCGAAAGCCGUAGGCGAUGGCUAAUCGGUUCAUAUUCCGAUCCUAGUGUAUCUUGUUUGAGCGAUGGAGUGACGCAGGAAGGUAGCUCGAGCGGGCGUUGGUUGUCCCGUGACAAGCGUGCGAGUGGUCUGGCAGGCAAAUCCACCAGAUAACACUGAGGCGUGACGUACAAGUCUUUAUAGACCGAAUAGAGUAAUCCUACACUGCCUGGAAAAGCUUCUAGUGAGAGAUGCAUUACCCGUACCGCAAACCGACACUGGUAGAUGAGUUGAAAAUACUAAGGCGGCGAGUUAAUCCCUCUUAAGGAACUCGGCAAAUUGACCCCGUAACUUCGGAAUAAGGGGUGCUAACGAUGUAAGUAGCCGCUUGCCGGUGAAAGUGUUGUUAGUCGCAGAGAAUAGGCCCAACCGACUGUUAAGCAAAAACAUAGGUCUCUGCAAAGCUGUAAAGCGACGUAUAGGGGCUGACGCCUGCCCGGUGCUGGAACGUUAAGAGGAGGGCUUAGAGCAAUCGAAGGUCUGAAUUGAAGCGCCAGUAAACGGCGGCCGUAACUAUAACGGUCCUAAGGUAGCGAAAUUCCUUGUCAGGUAAG
rnacentral:rRNA from 1 species